UACGUAGGGGGCUAGCGUUGUCCGGAUUUAUUGGGCGUAAAGAGCGUGUAGGCGGCCGGGUAAGUCGGAUGUGAAAUCCCCAGGCUCAACUUGGGAACUGCAUCCGAUACUGGAUGGCUUGAAUUCGGGAGAGGGAUGCAGAAUUCCAGGUGUAGCGGUGAAAUGCGUAGAUAUCUGGAGGAAUACCGGUGGCGAAGGCGGCAUCCUGGACCGACAUUGACGCUGAGGAGCGAAAGCUAGGGGAGCAAACGGG
rnacentral:rRNA from 1 species